GGAAGGGUCUCUUCUGUAGAUUCACUCUGCUGGUGUUUCAUGAGUGAGCCUAGGAUAGGGAUUUUUUAUGGAUUGCAUCAACAAGAAUCAGGUUUAGAGUCUGCCAUCAGAAGUAUAAUGACUUUAGAAGUAUCCUCUUUGUAAGGAAUAAAGAACAGUGGCUGAAACUUCGGAUACAUUUUCAGUACACAAACUGCAAUAACUGAUGCUGUGUUAGGUAAUUUAUGUGUUCUUCUCUGGAUGUUACUGUAGGUCUAAGAUUUCUACAGAUGUGCUGUGAAAGUCAAGGCAACGAAGAGUCAGAAAACAGGAGACGUGACAGUGACAUCCCUUGGAUUUUUGUAGUCAGUAAGACUGGACUUUAAUUUACUGUCUGAAGAAAGUUCAAUGGCAGUUCCUGAGAAUGUAAAAACAUGACAGUUCCAAAGAAAAUAUUUGGAGGUAGACCAGAAUAAGGAUUUUCAGUGUGUCAUUUAUUACCUAGUCUGUACACAUCCUCUUAUGCCACAGUACUACAAAGUAAGGAAAGAUAUUUCACCUCAGUGAAAGGUGGCUAACCUGUUUUGAGUGGAAAGUUUGUGGAUGUGUUAAUCUUGACAUCCUGUAAUUCCUGACAUUAACUUUUUGGGCAUACCAGUCUGUAUCAGCUACACAAAUUUACAGCAGUUCCUCCUGUGGGACCUCUCUGAAGUACUGCCAAAGGCUCGUGGUUAUAAAAAUGGGAGGAUGUUUUCUUCAA